CCUACGGGUGGCAGCAGUGAGGAAUAUUGGUCAAUGGACGCAAGUCUGAACCAGCCAUGCCGCGUGCAGGAAGAUGGCUCUAUGAGUUGUAAACUGCUUUUGUACGAGGGUAAACUCAGAUACGCGUAUCUGUCUGAAAGUACCGUACGAAUAAGGAUCGGCUAACUCCGUGCCAGCAGCCGCGGUAAUACGGAGGAUUCAAGCGUUAUCCGGAUUUAUUGGGUUUAAGGGGUGCGUAGGCGAUCGGUUAAGUUAGAGGUGAAAGCCCGCGGCUAAAGGUCGGAAUUGCCUCUGAUACUGUUCGGCUAGAGAGUAGAUGCGGUAGGCGGAAUGUAUGGUGCAGCGGUGAAAUGCUUAGAGAUCAUACAGAACACCGAUUGCGAAGGCAGCUUACCAAGCUACGUCUGACGUUGAGGCACGAAAGCGUGGGGAGCAAACAGGAUUAGAUACCCGGGUAGUC
rnacentral:rRNA from 1 species